rnacentral:rRNA from 1 species
UACGGAGGGUGCGAGCGUUGUCCGGAAUCACUGGGCGUAAAGGGCGCGUAGGCGGCCUGAUAAGUAGGGGGUGAAAUCCUGCGGCUUAACCGCAGGACUGCCUUCUAAACUGUCAGGCUUGAGCACAGUAGAGGCAGGUGGAAUUCCCGGUGUAGCGGUGGAAUGCGUAGAGAUCGGGAAGAACAUCAGUGGCGAAGGCGGCCUGCUGGGAUGUUGCUGACGCUGAGGCGCGACAGCGUGGGGAGCAAACAGG